CGCUGCCGCUGUUCCGGCGAGGCGCUGAGACUCCGGGCGAGGAGGGAGCCGGGGGAGACAACCCUGGGGAAUUCUUGACCUGGCCUGUGAAAUGUGGGAGGAACAGGUUCCUAGGACAAGAGUGUUGUACAGAAUGUAGUGAAGCUCUGGGAGAGACUCAAAACCCUAGGGACCUUUCCCAAAGAAAACUUUCUCCAUGCUCAACAGGCCCAGCAGCGAGCCUACAACAAAGGUGCCACAGGAAGAGGUACAUCACCACGAAGAUGGAGCAGCUGUCAGUAGGAGACAUCGAGUGGGGAGAGAGCUGCUAUGCCAUGCCUGGCCACAAGGAGGCGCCAGCAGUGAGUCAACCCACUUCACAAGGACUAAGGUAUACACAAGGCAUUCCACAGUGUGCCCAGCUAACUGAUCAUCACACCGAGACUGAGGGCCACAUUCUCUGCUACACCUGUUUACAGCAACAUUUUACCCUGGGACGCAAGCUUAUGACACUUAUGAGUUCAAACAACUAGUGACCAGAAGGGAAAACCUGAAUUUGGUUCUACACAAUUCUGCACUGCUUUGGGCUCAAAAGAAUUCUCUGCUCAUUGAAGAACCCAGGGCCAUAUUCUCACCUGCCACUGACUUUACAGCGGUUCCUCCACUGUUUUGAGUGGAGUCAUUCCUAAUUUACACUGGUAAGGGAGAGCAGAAGCAAGCCAUAAUAUCGGAAACGAAAAGCCAGUAUCAAACGAAAGAAGCUGAUAUUGGCAGGUAUGGGGGCAACAAGUGUCAUCAGGGAAACAGAAAGCCAGAGAGGCCUUGCCAUGUCAAGGGAGAAAA